rnacentral:rRNA from 1 species
GACGAACCGAGCGAACGUUGUUCGGAAUCACUGGGCUUAAAGGGCGCGUAGGCGGGUGCUCAAGUCCGGGGUGAAAUCCUCCAGCUCAACUGGAGAACUGCCUCGGAUACUGGGCGUCUCGAGGGUGGCAGGGGUAUGCGGAACUAUCGGUGGAGCGGUGAAAUGCGUUGAUAUCGAUAGGAACUCCGGUGGCGAAGGCGGCAUACUGGUCCACUUCUGACGCUGAGGCGCGAAAGCCAGGGGAGCAAACGGG